rnacentral:lncRNA from 1 species
UCACAGUUUGUUCAUUGGUCACAAAUCAAAAAAUUAAUUAGUCACACCUUAUCAAUUUAUUGGUCACAGCUUAUUUUUUGGUCACAGAUCGAAAAUUUUAUAGGUCACAUAUUAUUUUUAGGUCACGAAUUAAAAAUUUUAUAGAUCACAUAUAACAAACAUUAUAGGUCACAAAUUAUAAAUUUUUUAAGUUACACAUUAUUUUUUUGUCACAAUUUAUCUUUUUCAUUGAUCACAUAUUGUUUACUGGUCACAUAUUAACCAAUUUAAUGGUCACAAUCAACCAAAUAAUCUGCGCCCACCACCACCACUUGUUGACAACCACUUUUAUUGGUCACAACUCAUUCAUUCAUUUCAAAUUAUUAGAUUAAUUGGUUACGAUUAAUUUUUUGGUCACAACUUAAUCGAUUGUGAAUAACAGUCACGAUUUUCAGGUCACGUAUCCAAUUGUGAGUCACAAAUACGAGUCACAGACACAGUCACAAUCACAAUUUUCAUUGAAAUCAUCGUCGCCGCCACACGCCAACACCACAAUUGCAAGUCACAGUCCACAACCACCGCAACCGCCCCAAAUCAUCGUCACCACACACCAACGCCACAAUUGGGAGUCACAGUCCACAAGCAUCGCAACCGUCCCAAAUCAUCGCUGCCACCGUCGUCGCCACACACCAAUACCACAGAUCCACAACAUAUCCACGAUCUGCAGCGCAAAUCACCACCAUGUUAAUAGAAACCAAUCACCAAAACAAUGAAAAACAAACCACCAGAUCGCGUCACCCAUGCCAUCCCGACACCACCACCAGCCCUGCAUCACUACGACAUCACAGUCACAAUCUCCACCCAAAAAAAUCCCCAAAGUCGUGGCUAUAUGCACCUCUAGCAAUACCACCACCUUGCCAAAUUACUGCACGACAACCAAAAGACACCACCAAUGGCAAAAAAACCACUUGCAACCACCACGAUCUGCAACGAUCUGAGAACAGCGGUCGAGCACAACGUCCAUUUA